AUUUUGCACCCACACGACCUUGGGUGAUUUUGGAAAAGAUGGCCUCCAAACUGCCUAGACCCCAGCUUCGAGGUUUAUUUGGUGAUUAUAUCAGAAAGAGGAUGGCAGCAAUUUUUUCUGUAUCUCUUGUUUCAACUCUACCAGUUUACUACUAUGGUGUCAACCAAAUCAAACACAAGCACCUGGACUUUUUUAGCCGAACUGAUCCUUACGUCCUCCAGGAACAGCUCAUCAAGGACGGGGCCUACUAUAUAGUAACACCAGAAGGCACUGUCACUUGGGAUGAAGAAUGAGAAUCCGGGGAUGUGAAAGCUGUAGGAGUGAUGUUGUGUUAUAAAUGAGAAAGAACUGUGUUUCAGAUCCAUAUGUUCAAUAAACUUUAAAACAUU
rnacentral:sRNA from 1 species